GUUCGAACGGAGGAACGUGCCAGGGUGACACAGAAACCGGGGAAUUCCUCUCUUGCCACUGUACGUCAGAAUACUAUGGAUCUCAGUGUGAAAACGCUUAUCCUUGCACACUGGAACAGUGCUCCGGAAGAGGAAGUUGUACCAAUAUUCUGGAUACUAUCCCUUACGACUACUCCUGCCAUUGUUCUCCUUCUUUUAUCGGUCGUUCAUGCCAAUAUGCUGAUCCUUGUAUUCUAGACCAGAGCCCCUGUCAAAAUGGAGCUACUUGCUCCUACAGCAACGGUUGGGUCAUUACCCCGGUAGUGUACUGCUCAUGUUUACCGGAGUACACCGGGGACCACUGCGAGAGCUUAAUACAUCCGUGUGAUAGACCUACCAAUCCUUGUUCGAAUGGAGGCUCAUGUGACCCUUUGCCAGAGCAUCAGUAUACGUGUAUUUGCCAAACAGGCUUCAUUGGCAGUAUCUGU